UACGAAGGGGGCUAGCGUUGUUCGGAUUUACUGGGCGUAAAGCGCGUGUAGGCGGACUUGUAAGUUGGGGGUGAAAUCCCGAGGCUCAACCUCGGAACUGCCUCCAAAACUACAAGUCUGGAGCAAGAUAGAGGCAAGUGGAAUUGCGAGUGUAGAGGUGAAAUUCGUAGAUAUUCGCAGGAGCACCAGUGGCGAAGGCGACUUGCUGGAUCUUUGCUGACGCUGAGACGCGAAAGCGUGGGGAGCAAACAGG
rnacentral:rRNA from 1 species